rnacentral:lncRNA from 1 species
GUGAAGUAAGAAAAUCAGAGAAAGGAUAAGGUAAGAUCUCAAGAGGUAAGUCUCUUCUGAGAUUAAUUUUUUUCCCAGAGAAUCCAGCAGUUAAGAGUCAGCUUUUCACUCACCAUGUGUCAGUUCAAAGGAAAAGAUUUUAUUUUAUUUAUUUAAAAAACAACCCUUACCUUCCGUCUUGGUUCCAAUACUGUGUAUUGGUCACACAGCUGGGAAGUGUCUAAGACCAGAUUUGAACCCAGGACCUCUCAUCUCUAGGCCUGGAUCUCAAUCCACUGAGCUACCAGCUGCCCCCCAAAGGAAAAGAUUUUAGAACAGUCUUGCCAGGAACAGGGUCUCAGAUCCAGCUUCCUCUUUGUGAAUUUUAAAACUAUUCCACCUUAAUCAGAGCAUUCUUUAGAAGAUCUGAUUUAGCUAUUUCCUGAUCAAUAACAAUGGAGAUACUUGGAAUAACAGAAUCAGGUCUUGGAAACUCUACAUUCUCCACCCUUCUUAGUUUAACAAGAUUAGGAAGGUCUGCAUCAAACUCAAGAUUUAAUUAUCUGAGGAAAUGGCCUUUAACAGACAUGUUAAAAAAAAAAAAAGGACAGACCUCUGGGCUGUCCUAAGUCAAGCUAAGUCAUCAUUGGUACAGCUGAGAUGCAGGAAAGUGAUGUAAAACUGUCUAUAUAAGGCAUAUCACUUCCUGUCUCUUCCUCUUUCCCCAGAGAGAUGACUCUGGCUGGCAGUGUGCUAGGAGCUCUGACAUCUUGGCAUGGUGGUGACUAUUGUCUGAGUUCGGUGGACUAUAUUUGUCUCAAAAAAGCAUCAAGGUGGCACAAUGGAGCACUGGGUUUGGAGUCAAGAAGACCUAAAUUCAAAUCUACCUCAGACACUUAUCAACUGUAUGACUCUAUGUAAGUCCCUUAACAAUUGUUUCUCUCAGUUUCCUCAUCUGUUAAAUGAGGUUAAUAAUAGUACCUAUCUUUCAGGGUUGUUGUGAAGAUUGAAUGAGAUAGUAAUUGUAAAGUGCAUAGUACAGUUUUGGCACAUAAUGGGUGGUAUAAUUUGAAAUCUGGUACUGCUAGAUUGUUUUCCUUCAUUUUCUUUUCCUUGAUCCCUUGAUAUUCUUAAACUUUUGUUCUUCCAGAUGAAUUUUAUUAUUCUUUUCUAGUUCUACAAAAUAAUUCUUUGGCCCUUUGAUUAGUAUAGUAUUGAAUAAGUAAAUUGCCAUUUUUAAAAUAUUGGCUCAGCCUACUCAUGAACAAAUAAUAUUUCUCAAUUU